UACGAAGGGGGCUAGCGUUGCUCGGAAUUACUGGGCGUAAAGCGCACGUAGGCGGAUUGUUAAGUCGGGGGUGAAAUCCUGGAGCUCAACCUCGGAACUGCCUUUGAUACUGCAAGUCUCGAGUCCGAUAGAGGUGGGUGGAAUUCCUAGUGUAGAGGUGAAAUUCGUAGAUAUUAGGAAGAACACCGGUGGCGAAGGCGGCCCACUGGAUCGGUACUGACGCUGAGGUGCGAAAGCUAGGGGAGCAAACAGG
rnacentral:rRNA from 1 species